GCCUAAGACAUGCAAGUCGAACGGGAUGGCCACAGAGAUUGAUUGAGAACUGGAGUGCUUGCACAAAGGUAGGAUUCAUUCAACGUGGAUUUCCAUCCAGUGGCAAACGGGUGAGUAACACGUGGGUUACCUGCCUCUAAGUUGGGGAUAACAGUUGGAAACGACUGAUAAUACCGAAUGUGCUCUACGGAGUAAAGAUGCCUUUAAAGCAUCGCUUGGAGAUGGGCCUGCGGCGUAUUAGCUAGUUGGUGGGGUAAUGGCCUACCAAGGCGACGAUGCGUAGCCGAACUGAGAGGUUAAUCGGCCACACUGGGACUGAGACACGGCCCAGACUCCUACGGGAGACAGCAGUUAGGAAUAUUCGUCAAUGGGGGAAACCCUGAACGAGCAAUGCCGCGUGAGUGAAUGAAGGCCCUAUGGGUUGUAAAAACUCUGUUGUUUGGAAAGAACUGUAAGAAUAGGAAAUGAUUCUUACUUGACGGUACCAUUCAAGAAAGCCACGGCUAACUACGUGCCAGCCGCUGC
rnacentral:rRNA from 1 species